GACAGAGGGUGCAAACGUUGUUCGGAAUUACUGGGCGUAAAGCGUGUGUAGGCGGUCUCGUAAGUCGGAUGUGAAAGCCCUGGGCUCAACCCAGGAAGUGCACUCGAAACUGCGAGGCUAGAGUAUCGGAGAGGUUGGUGGAAUUCUCGGUGUAGAGGUGAAAUUCGUAGAUAUUCGGAGGAACACCAGUGGCGAAGGCGGCUCACUGGUCCAUUACUGACGCUGAGGUGCGAAAGCGUGGGGAGCAAACAGG
rnacentral:rRNA from 1 species